CACACUGGAAGAUGAGGCUACUAUUGGGCCGAUUUUUGUCCGUGAACGGCUGUCAAUGGAGGAUGAGCCUCUACUGCAAAUUCACAAGUCCUCUCAGGUGUCGUCAGGUCACCAUGUGGACAUCAUUCAGAAAAAUCUGGAUCUUGCAGACCCCAAAGUUUUGAACGAGUUCUCCAUGGAGUUGGUGCUCAUGGCUGGUUUGGUGGUUGCAGUUGGACUUUUGUGUGUCAUUAUCCUUGGAAAGUUGCUUUACCAAAGGUGGCAGAAAUGACUUGUGUUGACUUGUGAAUGAUGAUGAUAAAAGCGGUUUUAUCUAAA